GGUAAACGUUAAGGACGUUGGACCUUUCGGGAGCCCGGAGACGAGGUGCGUGCAGUGGCGUUGUCGUCAGCCCGUGUCGUGAGAUGUUGGGUUAAGUCCCGCAACGAGCGCAACCCUUUUCCUUACUUGCCAGCAUUUCGGAUGGGAACUUUAAGGAUACUGCCAGUGACAAACUGGAGGAAGGCGGGGACGACGUCAAGUCAUCAUGGCCCUUACGGCCAGGGCUACACACGUGCUACAAUGGUCGGUACAAAGGGUUGCUACACAGCGAUGUGAUGCUAAUCUCAAAAAGCCGAUCGUAGUCCGGAUUGGAGUCUGCAACUCGACUCCAUGAAGUCGGAAUCGCUAGUAAUCGCGGAUCAGAAUGCCGCGGUGAAUACGUUCCCGGGCCUU
rnacentral:rRNA from 1 species